rnacentral:rRNA from 1 species
GGGUUGUGAGGUUAAGCGACUAAGCGUACACGGUGGAUGCCCUGGCAGUCAGAGGCGAUGAAGGGCGUGCUAAUCUGCGAUAAGCGCCGGUAAGGUGAUAUGAACCGUUAUAACCGGCGAUACCCGAAUGGGGAAACCCAGUGUGUUUCGACACACUAUCAUUAACUGAAUCCAUAGGUUAAUGAGGCGAACCGGGGGAACUGAAACAUCUAAGUACCCCGAGGAAAAGAAAUCAACCGAGAUUCCCCCAGUAGCGGCGAGCGAACGGGGAGGAGCCCAGAGCCUGAAUCAGCAUGUGUGUUAGUGGAAGCGUCUGGAAAGGCGCGCGAUACAGGGUGACAGCCCCGUACACAAAAGCGCAUGUGCUGUGAGCUCGAUGAGUAGGGCGGGACACGUGGUAUCCUGUCUGAAUAUGGGGGGACCAUCCUCCAAGGCUAAAUACUCCUGACUGACCGAUAGUGAACCAGUACCGUGAGGGAAAGGCGAAAAGAACCCCGGCGAGGGGAGUGAAAAAGAACCUGAAACCGUGUACGUACAAGCAGUGGGAGCACCCUUUGGGGUGUGACUGCGUACCUUUUGUAUAAUGGGUCAGCGACUUAUAUUCUGUAGCAAGGUUAACCGUAUAGGGGAGCCGGAGGGAAACCGAGUCUUAACCGGGCGUUAAGUUGCAGGGUAUAGACCCGAAACCCGGUGAUCUAGCCAUGGGCAGGUUGAAGGUUGGGUAACACUAACUGGAGGACCGAACCGACUAAUGUUGAAAAAUUAGCGGAUGACCUGUGGCUGGGGGUGAAAGGCCAAUCAAACCGGGAGAUAGCUGGUUCUCCCCGAAAGCUAUUUAGGUAGCGCCUCGUGAAUUCAUCUCCGGGGGUAGAGCACUGUUUCGGCUAGGGGGCCAUCCCGGCUUACCAACCCGAUGCAAACUGCGAAUACCGGAGAAUGUUAUCACGGGAGACACACGGCGGGUGCUAACGUCCGUCGUGAAGAGGGAAACAACCCAGACCGCCAGCUAAGGUCCCAAAGUCAUGGUUAAGUGGGAAACGAUGUGGGAAGGCCCAGACAGCCAGGAUGUUGGCUUAGAAGCAGCCAUCAUUUAAAGAAAGCGUAAUAGCUCACUGGUCGAGUCGGCCUGCGCGGAAGAUGUAACGGGGCUAAACCAUGCACCGAAGCUGCGGCAGCGACACUGUGUGUUGUUGGGUAGGGGAGCGUUCUGUAAGCCUGUGAAGGUGGCCUGUGAGGGUUGCUGGAGGUAUCAGAAGUGCGAAUGCUGACAUAAGUAACGAUAAAGCGGGUGAAAAGCCCGCUCGCCGGAAGACCAAGGGUUCCUGUCCAACGUUAAUCGGGGCAGGGUGAGUCGACCCCUAAGGCGAGGCCGAAAGGCGUAGUCGAUGGGAAACGGGUUAAUAUUCCCGUACUUGGUGUUACUGCGAAGGGGGGACGGAGAAGGCUAUGUUGGCCGGGCGACGGUUGUCCCGGUUUAAGCGUGUAGGUGUGUGUUCCAGGUAAAUCCGGUUCACUUUAACACUGAGGCGUGACGACGAGGCACUACGGUGCUGAAGCAACAAAUGCCCUGCUUCCAGGAAAAGCCUCUAAGCAUCAGGUAACAUCAAAUCGUACCCCAAACCGACACAGGUGGUCAGGUAGAGAAUACCAAGGCGCUUGAGAGAACUCGGGUGAAGGAACUAGGCAAAAUGGUGCCGUAACUUCGGGAGAAGGCACGCUGACAUGUAGGUGAAGUGAUUUACUCAUGGAGCUGAAGUCAGUCGAAGAUACCAGCUGGCUGCAACUGUUUAUUAAAAACACAGCACUGUGCAAACACGAAAGUGGACGUAUACGGUGUGACGCCUGCCCGGUGCCGGAAGGUUAAUUGAUGGGGUCAGCGCAAGCGAAGCUCCUGAUCGAAGCCCCGGUAAACGGCGGCCGUAACUAUAACGGUCCUAAGGUAGCGAAAUUCCUUGUCGGGUAAGUUCCGACCUGCACGAAUGGCGUAAUGAUGGCCAGGCUGUCUCCACCCGAGACUCAGUGAAAUUGAACUCGCUGUGAAGAUGCAGUGUACCCGCGGCAAGACGGAAAGACCCCGUGAACCUUUACUAUAGCUUGACACUGAACAUUGAGCCUUGAUGUGUAGGAUAGGUGGGAGGCUUUGAAGUGUGGACGCCAGUCUGCAUGGAGCCGACCUUGAAAUACCACCCUUUAAUGUUUGAUGUUCUAACGUGGACCCGUGAUCCGGGUUGCGGACAGUGUCUGGUGGGUAGUUUGACUGGGGCGGUCUCCUCCUAAAGAGUAACGGAGGAGCACGAAGGUUGGCUAAUCCUGGUCGGACAUCAGGAGGUUAGUGCAAUGGCAUAAGCCAGCUUGACUGCGAGCGUGACGGCGCGAGCAGGUGCGAAAGCAGGUCAUAGUGAUCCGGUGGUUCUGAAUGGAAGGGCCAUCGCUCAACGGAUAAAAGGUACUCCGGGGAUAACAGGCUGAUACCGCCCAAGAGUUCAUAUCGACGGCGGUGUUUGGCACCUCGAUGUCGGCUCAUCACAUCCUGGGGCUGAAGUAGGUCCCAAGGGUAUGGCUGUUCGCCAUUUAAAGUGGUACGCGAGCUGGGUUUAGAACGUCGUGAGACAGUUCGGUCCCUAUCUGCCGUGGGCGCUGGAGAACUGAGGGGGGCUGCUCCUAGUACGAGAGGACCGGAGUGGACGCAUCACUGGUGUUCGGGUUGUCAUGCCAAUGGCACUGCCCGGUAGCUAAAUGCGGAAGAGAUAAGUGCUGAAAGCAUCUAAGCACGAAACUUGCCCCGAGAUGAGUUCUCCCUGAGACUUAGAGUCUCCUGAAGGAACGUUGAAGACGACGACGUUGAUAGGCCGGGUGUGUAAGCGCAGCGAUGCGUUGAGCUAACCGGUACUAAUGAACCGUGAGGCUUAACCUUACAACGCCGAAG